AGAUGCCAUGAGUCCAAAGGAAUCAUCCCGCCCCCAGCAGACAAGCGUGGAGCCAGCCUGCUCCUCUGGCCAAAGCAUUCCACCCCCGGACCUCUCCUCCAGGUACUUCCUGUCCAGACGGGCAGUGGCCCCAGAGCCUGGGAAACCUGCCCCACAGGUGAGGGCAAGGGGUGUGUCUGAAGUGGGUGAGAGGCUGGUAUGAGCCUUGGUUGCUGCUCUGGAAACAGGAAGAAGAGAUGUGGAAGAAGAGAUGUGGGUAUGGUGGAUUCUGACCCUUGGCUCCCCAAAGUUCCACAGAGCCCAGCUCCCACUGAAGGCAUAUGACCCAGAUCCUGAGAACCAGAUGCACCGGCCUGAGCUUUCGUCAGAAGCAAGGACACACAGAACCUUUCUUAGAGGCAUCAU
rnacentral:lncRNA from 10 species